GAGUGGCGAACGGGUGAGUAACACGUGGGUAACCUGCCCAGAAGUAGGGGAUAACACCUGGAAACAGAUGCUAAUACCGUAUAACAGAGAAAACCGCAUGGUUUUCUUUUAAAAGAUGGCUCUGCUAUCACUUCUGGAUGGACCCGCGGCGUAUUAGCUAGUUGGUGAGGUAAAGGCUCACCAAGGCAGUGAUACGUAGCCGACCUGAGAGGGUAAUCGGCCACAUUGGGACUGAGACACGGCCCAGACUCCUACGGGAGGCAGCAGUAGGGAAUCUUCCACAAUGGACGCAAGUCUGAUGGAGCAACGCCGCGUGAGUGAAGAAGGGUUUCGGCUCGUAAAGCUCUGUUGUUAAAGAAGAACGUGGGUAAGAGUAACUGUUUACCCAGUGACGGUAUUUAACCAGAAAGCCACGGCUAACUACGUGCCAGCAGCCGCGGUAAUACGUAGGUGGCAAGCGUUAUCCGGGACUCUAUUGGGCGUAAAGCGAGCGCAGCCGGUCUUUUAAGUCUAAUGUGAAAGCCUUCGGCUCAACCGAAGAAGUGCAUUGGAAACUGGGAGACUUGAGUGCAGAAGAGGACAGUGGAACUCCAUGUGUAGCGGUGAAAUGCGUAGAUAUAUGGAAGAACACCAGUGGCGAAGGCGGCUGUCUGGUCUGCAACUGACGCUGAGGCUCGAAAGCAUGGGUAGCGAACAGGAUUAGAUACCCUGGUAGUCCAUGCCGUAAACGAUGAUUACUAAGUGUUGGAGGGUUUCCGCCCUUCAGUGCUGCAGCUAACGCAUUAAGUAAUCCGCCUGGGGAGUACGACCGCAAGGUUGAAACUCAAAAGAAUUGACGGGGGCCCGCACAAGCGGUGGAGCAUGUGGUUUAAUUCGAAGCUACGCGAAGAACCUUACCAGGUCUUGACAUCUUCUGACAGUCUAAGAGAUUAGAGGUUCCCUUCGGGGACAGAAUGACAGGUGGUGCAUGGUUGUCGUCAGCUCGUGUCGUGAGAUGUUGGGUUAAGUCCCGCAACGAGCGCAACCCUUAUUACUAGUUGCCAGCAUUAAGUUGGGCACUCUAGUGAGACUGCCGGUGACAAACCGGAGGAAGGUGGGGACGACGUCAAAUCAUCAUGCCCCUUAUGACCUGGGCUACACACGUGCUACAAUGGAUGGUACAACGAGUCGCGAAACCGCGAGGUUAAGCUAAUUUCUUAAAACCAUUCUCAGUUCGGACUGUAGGCUGCAACUCGCCUACACGAAGUCGGAAUCGCUAGUAAUCGCGGAUCAGCAUGCCGCGGUGAAUACGUUCCCGGGCCUUGUACACACCGCCCGUCACACCAUGAGAGUUUGUAACACCCAAAGCCGGUGGGGUAACCUUAG
rnacentral:rRNA from 1 species